rnacentral:lncRNA from 1 species
UGUCUUGUUAAAGUGCUUACUUUUCCCAUGAGGGAUUCAGAUAAUUUGUUUUCUCUUUGGUUUGGAUAUUAGGGGUAAUUUCUCCCCUUAAAAAUCGAGUUCUGAAGGAAGUGGCUGUAUUUUUAUCAUUAUCCUAAAAGACUACAGCUCCGAUUGGACCCCUAGCCCUAAAGUGCGGCCCUAAAAAGCCAAAAAAAAAAAAAAAAAAAAAAAGGCUUUUUUCUUCAGAAUGCUUAGUAGUUGAUUUUGUAGCCUAAACUUUCUAGACUGGUGCAGUAGGGAAAGGAACCAGGAAAGGUAGGGGCUGGGCUUGAUUGAAUUGUUCACCCAUUUGCUGAUGGAGCCAGAAAAAAACCCAUAACAGCAGAUGUACAAAUUUUCAUCUGUAAUAUUUAUUUAAAACAGGUAUGUCUGAGAGUAUAUGCUUGGGUAAAUUAUAUAUUGAAUUCUACUGCUUAGUAUGAUUGUGUUCAACUAGAUGCAUUUAGUAUUAACUGUGAGAUAUGCUGCAGCAAUAAUAAGAAAUGCAGUGGGUGCCUUUCUGCUGUUAUCAAAAUCCAUUAACAAGUUUUGCUGUGCUUGACUGCUCUCCAUUGUUAGGCUUUAUGGUUCAGACUAAAGCUGUAGAUGUAAAUGACAUCCUUUCUACAACACUUUCUCAAGGUCUCACAGACAAUGAUGUUGUAUUUUGAGCAAACAUUUGUUUACUCCAUAGUAAUAGUUGAUGCUAGACAGCUAUGGUUUGCUUUAGUUCUGCCCCUCUGUUUUAUGUAGGAUUUUAGCCAGGUAGAGAAAAGUAGUUGAUAGUAUUCUUUUUUUUUUUUUCCUUCUUUUUUCUUUCUUUCUUUCCCUUUUUUUUUUUUUUUUUUGGACCACACGCACAGCAUAAAGAAGUUGCUGGGCCAGGAAUUGAUCCCGUGCUACAGUUGUGACCUGUGCUGCAACUGCAGCCACGCUGGAUCUUUAACCUGCUGCACCACAUGGGUGUUGGCAGUGUUCUUGAGAUUCUCGAAACUACAGUGACUCCCGACACCCACUCUUCUUUAUUGCUUUAGCUACAGAGAGACAAGAGCUCAGGCCCAGGGAUAACCUUUGGUGUAGAAGAUCCUGUGAAAAGUGGGUAAAGCUGAUUCUUAAGCCACUAAAGCCAAGAAACAAACAAGCAAACCAAAAUUUAGUUUUUGGAGUAGGAGUUUAAAUGUAGGAAAUCUUCUCUUUGCAAGGUGCAAGAUGUUAUGUCAUGAUGUUGAGUGUUUAUUGGUUUUUGUUUGCUUUUUUAAGGGUUGAGAUCUUUUAAGAAUUUUAGAAUCUUCAUUUCUUUAGCUAUUUAAAAAUUUUUUAUUCUUUUGCUUUUUUAGGGCCUCACCUGCAGCAUAUGGAAGCUCCUAGGCUAGGGGUUGAAUCAGAGCUAUAGCUGCCAGUCUGUGUGCUACAGCCACAGCAAUGCAGGAUCCAAGCCAUGUUUGUGAUCUUUACCAUAGCUCAUGGCAACGGCUAGAUCCCUGACCCACUGUGUGAAGCUAGGGAUCGAACCCAAAUCCUCAUGGAUACUAGUUGGAUUUGUUUCUGCAGCACCACAAUGGGAACUCCUCUUUAGCUAUUUAAAGAUUUGGAAUAAAGAUUUAGAAACUUUUGGAGUUCCCAUCGUGGCACAGUGAAUAUGAAUCCGACCAGAAACCAUGAGGUUACCGGUUCCAUCCCUGGCUUCACUCAGUGGGUUAAGGAUCUGGCAUUGUCCUGAGCUGUGGUGUAGGUUGCAGAUGCAGCUCGGAUCCCUCGUUGCUGUGGCUGUGGUGUAGGCUGGCAGCUAUAUCUGUGAUUAGACCCUUAGCCUGGGAACCUCUGUAUGCUGUGAGUGCGGCCCUAAAAAGACAAAAAAAAAAAAAAAGAUUUAGAAACUUUUUUUGGGGGGGGCAGUAGCAGAUCACUUUAUUAAUCGGAGGAAAACUGUGCACUGCCUUUCCAGAAAAAGACAUGCAUACAUUCACUCAACAAGUUUAUUCAGCAGGUGUAUCAAAUGACUACUACCAGACAUAUUUAAAGAUGUUCAGAAUAUAUCAGUGAACAAAAUAGAAAAAAGAACCCCAGUCCUCCAAAACCUUGUCCCUUGUGGCACUUACAUUUUAGUGGAGUCAGCAAGCACUAAACAUAGUAAGUAGGAACAUUGUGCAGUGUAUGAGGAUGUGGUAAGCGCUGUGGAAAAAAUACGAUACAGAAGGGAAGCCUGGUGGUUGUUGCAGUUUAAACAGAAGUUCAGGAUAGGCCUGAUAGGAUGAUAUUUGAGCAAAAGGUUCUAGGUGGUGCUCAAAUUAGUCAUUUGGAGUUCUGGGCUUUGAGCAUGCCAGGCAGAGGGUGGGAGCAAGGAAAACAGCAUGGUUGGAGCCGGACAACAAGGAGAAGGGUGGGUGUUAGUUUUCUGGGGUUGCUGGGUGACUCAGAUCGACAGAAAUGUAUUCUAGGCCAGGAGUCUGAAGCAAAGGUGUGGGCAGAGUUGGUCCCUUCUGGAGGCUGAGUAGUAUUCAUCCCCUGCUUCUCUCCUAGCUUCUGGUGGCUGCCAGCAUCCCUGGGCUUACAGACCAUCACUCCAGUCUCUGCCUCUGGGUUUACUUCUCUGUCUCAUCUCUCUCUACAUGUCAUCAGUUUUAGGACCCACCCCAAAUCCAGGAUGAUCUCAUCUUAAAAUCCUUAGCAGUUGGGAGUUCCCGUCGUGGCUCAGUGGUUAACGAAUCCAGCUAGGAACCAUGAGGUUGUGGGUUUGAUCUCUGGCCUCGCUCAGUGGGUUAAGGAUCUGGCAUUGCUGUGAGCUGUGGUGUGGGUCGCAGAUGCAGCUCGGAUCCUGCGUUGCUGUGGCUCUGGUGUAGGCUGAUGGCUACAGCUCUGAUUAGACCCCUAGCCUGGGAACCUCCACGUGCUGUGGGAGCGGCUUGAGAAAAGGCAAAAAGACCAAAAAAAAAAAAAAAAAAAAAAAAAAAAA